rnacentral:rRNA from 1 species
AUUCAGUCCGGGGCGUCGGUCGUGCGUGGAANGGCUUCCCCGAGCGGGGGGCCGUCCGGUCGCACACAGCGCCUAUUCCGCCNACGCAUUUGUCUCUCGUCCGAAGGACGCCGCANCCGGCUGGGUAGUGCAAACGCGACGACCUGAGGGGCGGAAGAUGGCAGGUGGCCGCUGGCGCCGGAUGGCGUCGGCGGUUGUUANCCGUUCCGUCGGUGGUACGUCACCCGGCCGGGGUGUCGCGAGGCCCUUCGGGGCCUCAUCGUCUCCUCCCCCGUCGAGAGGCGGGUCAGAGCGCUCGCAGGUGGAGUCCGUAGUCCCGUUCGCACCCCUCAGGGGUGGUCGGGCGAACGGGAUCCUCCGUUGGUGGCGCCGGACCCGUAGGAGGCUGGAGGCUUGCGGCGAGUAGGUCGGUCACCCACCCGACCCGGUCUUGAAACACGGACCAAGGAGUCUAACAUGUGCGCGAGUCAAUGGGUCUUGAAUAGGCCAAGAGGCGCAAUGAAAGCAAAGGAGCGGCCGAGCGCCCUUCGAGUUGGGAUCCCCGGCCCUCCGCGGUCGGGGCGGCACCAACGACCCGUCCUAUUCGGCUUGUCCGAUUGGGCGGAGUUUGAGGGUACACGUUGGGACCCNAAAGAUGGUGAACUAUGCCCGGACAGGACGAGGCCAGAGGAAACUUUGGUGGAGGUCCGCAGCGGUUUUGACGUGCAAAU